GAUGAACGCUGGCGGCGUGCUUAAUACAUGCAAGUCGAACGGAGAUAGUAGCAAUAUUAUCUUAGUGGCGAACGGGUGAGUAACGCGUUGGUGACCUGCCCCGAAGAGAGGGAUAGCAGUUCGAAAGGACUGAUAAUACCUCAUGUGGUUGAGGGUUUUAGAAUCCUUCAACUAAACGGAUUUAUUCGCUUCGGGAGGGGCCUGCGUCCCAUCAGCUAGUUGGUAGGGUAAUGGCCUACCAAGGCGAUGACGGGUAGGGGACCUGAGAGGGUGGCCCCCCACAAUGGAACUGAAACACGGUCCAUACACCUACGGGUGGCAGCAGUAGGGAAUAUUGGUAAUCUGCGAAGGCGGGAACCAGCAACGCCGCGUGCACGAUGAAGGCCUUCGGGUCGUAAAGUGCUUUUAGAGAGGAUGAGGAAGGACAGUACUUUCUGAAUAAGCCUCGGCUAACUACGUGCCAGCAGCCGCAGUAACAC
rnacentral:rRNA from 1 species